GACGAACGCUGGCGGCGUGCCUAAUACAUGCAAGUAGAACGCACAGUUUAUACCGUAGCUUGCUACACCAUAGACUGUGAGUUGCGAACGGGUGAGUAACGCGUCGGUAACCUGCCUGGUAGCUGGGGAUAACUAUUGGAAACGAUAGCUAAUACCGCAUAAUAUUAAUUAUUGCAUGGUAAUUUAUUGAAAGGUGCAAUUGCACCACUACCAGAUGGACCUGCGUUGUAUUAGCUAGUAGGUGAGGUAACGGCUCACCUAGGCGACGAUACAUAGCCGACAUGAGAGGGUGAUCGGCCACACUGGGACUGAGACACGGCCCAGACUCCUACGGGAGGCAGCAGUAGGGAAUCUUCGGCAAUGGACGAAAGUCUGACCGAGCAACGCCGCGUGAGUGAAGAAGGUUUUCGGAUCGUAAAGCUCUGUUGUAAGAGAAGAACGGGUGUGAGAGUGGAAAGUUCACACUGUGACGGUAUCUUACCAGAAAGGGACGGCUAACUACGUG
rnacentral:rRNA from 1 species